UUUUUUUAUUUUGUCCUCAUUUCUUUUGUUUCAAUUGAUACAGGAAUGAUAUUAUAUUUAUGACCAGAAGAAUCUCUUCAUUGCGAAAGCCUUUUCGACUGCUACUUUCCAGGUGAUAGAGAACAUUAAGUCUUGUCUUUCAGCUGAACAGCUUGAAAUGUUUUCCAAAACCUGUUUUGGACAUUUCCUUAAGCUUCCUGAUUUUAAAUUUCAACCGCAAGUGUUUCAUGGGUUGUUGCUGCGGGAGGUUCAUCAACCUAAUGAUGCUGUGUUGUGGGUAAUGAUACGCGGUGUUAGGCUUAGGUUUAGCAUUGAGGAGUUUGCUUUGAUUACUGGUUUAGACUGUGAAGGUGACUGUAGUGUUUUAGAUUUUAAGCAAGACGUUAAUAGUCUUUCUGAAAAAUAUUGGCCAACUUCGUCCUCUAUCACUAAGGAAUCUGUUAGGGAAUGUUUUACCACCAAGAGGUGGGGUGAUUCUGAUGAGGAUGCUGUGAAGUUGGCAGUUUUGUAUUUUGUGGAAUGGUUCUUGCUUAGUGGCACUAAGCAUAAAAAUGUACCUAGGUCUAUUUUAGAUGUUGUAGACAGUGGGAGGUACAAUGAAUUUGCUUGGGGACGGAGUUCUUUUGAACUGACUAUUUCCUCAUUGAAGGGUAAGCUUGACAGUUGGGUUGAAGGUGUUAGGAAGGCAAGGAGUUCGGGAAAGAGGCCGAGUGUUUUUUACACUUUGAUUGGUUGUCCUCAUGUUUUUCAAAUUUGGUUCUAUGAGUGUUGUAAGUACAUGAAAGGUAAGUAUUGCCAAAAGGAAAACUCUCGUAUUCCAAGGAUCAUUCAGUGGACAUGCAAUAGUCAGCCUACUUUCAAAGUUUUGAAGACUACUAUUUUUGAUGUUUCCAAAGAUAAGGUAUAUCUGCUAGUUGUAAUUUGGUUUUUUAGUAGUUGUUUUUAUGUUAUUUUUUAUUAUUAAUAAUCUUCAUAAUUGAAAUUUUCAUUUUGUUGUUUUUUGAUCAGCUGGAACUAUCAAAUAUGAGGCCCACUGCUACUGAGUUCAAAGCUUUGAAAUUGAGCAGUUUCAAGUUUGACACUGACUACAAUUCUUACAAGAGUGUUCCUGUUCCCGAAGAGCCUUCUGUUGCUCAGAGUGACAUUUCUGUCAAGCUUGAUGCUUUUUCUGAGAAAUUUGAUGGGUUGGAGGUGAAGAUCGAUUUGCUGCAUACUUCCCAACAGAAGAUUUCAUCCGAUUUGGUUGAGUUGAAAGAGUUUGUGUCUGCACAGUUUGUUUCUUUUGGUGCUCAGAUGGCUUCAAUGCAGGCACAGUUUUCUACUGUUUUUGCCGAUUCUUAUGCUAAGGUAUGUUAGUUUUUCAAUGGUUGUUUUUCAGUUUUUUUUAAGUUGUUUUAUACUAAUUUAAAUUAUAAUUUCAAUAUAGGACAAAGGCAGUGACUCUUCCAAUAAUGAUGGUGGAAGUGGUAAUGAAGAAGAUUUUGAUUUAGAUGAAUCUGAAGAAACUGAUGACAAUGAAGAAGAGAAUGUUAUGGGUGAUGAAGAAGGUGAGGGUAGUGAAGGUGAAGAGAAGGAUGGUCAAGCUGAUGAAGAUUCUGAGUCAAAAGAAAAAAAUGAUGAGGGCAGUGAUGAUGAAUGCACUGAUAGUGAGGAGAAGGUAGAUAAGUAGACAAUGUAACUAUGUUUUAGUUACUUUGUGUGGUUUAUUUCGUUGUAAGUCCGUUUAGGUUGUGUCUUGUAAUUCUAUGUUCUUGUUAUGUCUCUUCUUAUGUUUUAGUUUUUUUUUUUUUUAAUUUGCAACUAAUUUUCAAACUAUUUAUUUGUAUUUAUUAUGUUAUUUAGAUAGUUGUGUUUAUAGAUUAUGUUGUUCGCAAUUAUUGUUGGUCUUCUUAUUUUACUUGUUGUUUUUAUUUUGUUUUUUAGUUGUUAUGUAGUUGUUUCUUAGUUGUUGAAGCCUUUUACAAAAAAAUAACUUCAUUUUUUUUCUAUCUUCUCUUUCCUUCUUUUUCUGUAUCAAGAAUUUCGUUGAUUUCAAUGACGGACCUACUCAAAUAGAUGUUGAGGCUACUGUUCAGUCCGGUGUGAAAGCAGUUGAGAUUAUGGUAAUGUUGCUUUUGUGUUAUUUUUUGGUUGUGUAAAGGUUGUUAUUUUUUAACCCUGCUCUAAUUACUUUUUAAUACCAUAUAUAAACAGAUGUCUUCAGAUGGAAUUAGUGGUGAUUCUAGUAAACAGAUUUCAGUUUCUGAAAAUGUUGAGGUUACGGAUCGUCGUCUUGUUUGUUUUGAGGUAUAUUUUUUUUAUGGUUGUUUUUUAUUUUCUUCAUACUUUUUGUGUUUAACACUGACUUUUUUUUUCAUUUAUUUGGAAAAAAUAUAUUAGAUGGGUGCAACAGGUCUCAAUGUUGAUUCUAACAUUGAACUUGUUAAAGAUGACCCAAUUCCCGUUGAAGAAACUCCUCUUGUUGACAAGAGGAAAUCUAAGAAACCCAUAGCGUUGACGUCUCCGUUUAUGGAGUAUGACUCUUCCAUUUCUAGUUCUAAAGAUGGUUAUGGUUAUGGAGUUGUUAAGUAUGUGGCUGGUUUGUGUCCUCUUGAUGAUAAGAUUGGUGAAGAUGUAGAACAUAAAGACGAGAAUGAUUUUGACUUGUGGCUUGGUGAAGGACGGCGAUCAAAGAAAGAUCCCCAUGACAAGGACAAGGUUUACUUGAAGGGUAAGGAUAAGAUUGUUCCCCCUUUUCGUUUUGGCGUGGAAGAUGUUGCAAGCAAGAUGUGGUUCCACAAGCUUGCAUAUCGUGGCCAAUGUUAAACUAAUUCUGUAAGUUAAUUUAUUUAUUCUUUUGAUUUUUUUAAAAAAUUUCAGUCUAUAGUUUUCUUCAUGUUGUUUGUUGGUUGUUUUUCAGUUGUUAAUAUAUAAUUCAUUUUCUUAAUUUUGAACAUUUCUCAUUUUUUAUUGUUUAGCAUUUGGACAUCAUUUUUUACUAUCUACGUAAAAAAGAAAAGUAUGCAAAGGAGCCAAAGGUUAAGUUCACAACCACCGAUUGCUUAUUCUUCAAAACUAUUCAUGCUUUGUAUGAAAAAUUUGUUGCACAGAAAAAAGAUCUUUCU